rnacentral:miRNA from 1 species
GGCAGCUUGUUAAUAAUAGUCAGGUUCCAUUUCAACAGGUCUGGGAUGGGGCCCAAGAUUCUGCAUUUCUAACAAGCUC